rnacentral:rRNA from 1 species
GUCACUCAGGAAUAGCCCGGUGAAAACCGGAUUAAGUCCUGAUGAUAUCAUUAGAGGGCAUCUGACGAUGAUUAAAGGUUACGGUGACAGAUGGGGAUGCGUCUGAUUAGCUUGUUGGCGGGGUAACGGCCCACCAAGGCAACGAUCAGUAGGGGUUCUGAGAGGAAGGUCCCCCACAUUGGAACUGAGACACGGUCCAAACUCCUACGGGAGGCAGCAGUGAGGGAAUAUUGGUCAAUGGACGCAAGUCUGAACCAGCCAAGUAGCGUGCAGGAAGACGGCCCUAUGGGUUGUAAACUGCUUUUAUGUGGGAAUAAAGUCAGGGACGUGUCCCUGUUUGCAUGUACCACAGGAAUAAGGACCGGCUAAUUCCGUG